UAUUGCACAAUGGGCGCAAGCCUGAUGCAGCCAUGCCGCGUGUGUGAAGAAGGCCUUCGGGUUGUAAAGCACUUUCAGCGAGGAGGAAGGGUUCAGUGUUAAUAGCACUGUUCAUUGACGUUACUCGCAGAAGAAGCACCGGCUAACUCCGUGCCAGCAGCCGCGGUAAUACGGAGGGUGCAAGCGUUGAUCGGAAUUACUGGGCGUAAAGCGCACGCAGGCGGUUUGUUAAGUCAGAUGUGAAAUCCCCGCGCUUAACGUGGGAACUGCAUUUAAAACUGGCAAGCUAGAGUCUUGUAGAGGGGGGUAGAAUUCCAGGUGUAGCGGUGAAAUGCGUAGAGAUCUGGAGGAAUACCGGUGGCGAAGGCGGCCCCCUGGACAAAGACUGACGCUCAGGUGCGAAA
rnacentral:rRNA from 1 species